rnacentral:snRNA from 1 species
AUACUUGCUUUGGCAGUACAUAUACUAAAAUUGGGAUGAUACAGAAGAGCUUAGCAUGGCCCCUGAGCAAGGAUGACGUGCGGAUUUGUAGAGCAGUCCAUAUAAAUU